UUCGACGAUGUUGUGGUGCCUCUUGUUGACCGCAGCGGAGUGUUUGCGGCAGUGUUGAA
rnacentral:miRNA from 1 species